rnacentral:tRNA from 1 species
GCGACUAUAGUUCAAUGGUAGAACGACGGUUUGUGGUACCGCUAAUGAGGGUUCAAUUCCCUCUAGUCGCC